ACAUGACGGUGCUUUUCUCUCUUCUUCUGUUUUUGGUGACUAAAAGGGACUCUUCUGCACAGUCAACAUCAAACAUGAUACAACCAUCAUCCUCUGAGAAACAUGUUCUUGAGGGAGAAAGUGUGACUCUCUUUUGUAACUACACUGGAACUGUAACUGUGAACUCACUCCAGUGGUAUCGACAGUAUCUCAGAUCAGCUCCAGAGUUUCUGCUUCUUGUCACUGAAUAUAAAGGCAAAUCUGAGCCUGCUCUUCGUCUGUCAUCAAACGCUACUAAAGAAGAAAAACGAGUGGAACUGGAGAUUUCUUCUGUUGCUGUAACAGACUCUGCUGUGUACUACUGCGCCCUGCAGCCCACAGUGACAGGAAACUCAACUACACUGUACAAAAACUAAAGACAAAUCACUGAUUCUUGACAUAAGGAACAAAACAUGUUUAGAAUCUGAGUUUUUAUUUUUCAAUACUAAAUUAAUUACAAUUUGAUAUAUUUGUAGACAAAGUUGUCAGCUAACAAACCAAGUAUACAGGAUUUUAUAAAAACACUUUUAUUUCGCCCUGAAAUUGACAUUUGAUGCAAAGUGAGGACACAAUUUUGAU